rnacentral:rRNA from 1 species
CAGCACCGCGGUAAAACGAAGGGUGCAAGCGUUACUCGGAAUUACUGGGCGUAGAGCGUGCGUAGGUGGUGGUUUAAGUCCGUUGUGAAAGCCCUGGGCUCAACCUGGGAAUUGCAGUGGAUACUGGGUCACUAGAGUGUGGUAGAGGAUAGUGGAAUUUCCGGUGUAGCAGUGAAAUGCGUAGAGAUCGGAAGGAACAUCUGUGGCGAAGGCGACUACCUGGACUGAUACUGACACUGAGGUGCGAAAGCGUGGGGAGCAAACAGGAUUAGAUACCCCCGUAGUCCCUGUCUCUUAUACA